CCCUUAGAUGUUCUGGGCCGCACGCGCGCUACACUGACGAAUGCAACGAGCUUAUAACCUUGGGCGAAAGGUCUGGGUAAUCUCCAAAUUUCGUCGUGAUGGGGAUAGAUUAUUGCAAUUAUUAAUCUUCAACGAGGAAUGCCUAGUAAGCGCAAGUCAUCAGCUUGCGUUGAUUACGUCCCUGCCCUUUGUACACACCGCCCGUCGCUCCUACCGAUUGAAUGGUCCGGUGAAGCGUUCGGACCGUGGCCUUUGGACGGUUCGCCGUCUGUUGGCUGCGGGAAGUUCGUUAAACCUUAUCAUUUAGAGGAAGGAGAAGUCGUANCA
rnacentral:rRNA from 1 species